rnacentral:rRNA from 1 species
AGAAUGAACGCUGGCGGCGUGCUUAACACAUGCAAGUCGUACGAGAACUCUUUAGCUUGCUAAAGACAGUAAAGUGGCGCACGGGUGAGUAACGCGUGGGUAAUCUACCUUCGAAUCGGGGAUAACAUUGCGAAAGCGAUGCUAAUACCGGAUAAUAUCUCAAAACCAUCUGGUUUUGAGAUCAAAAAUGGCCUCUACAUGUAAGCUGUUGUUUGGAGAUGAGCCCGCGUACCAUUAGCUUGUUGGUAGGGUAAUGGCCUACCAAGGCAACGAUGGUUAGCUGGUCUGAGAGGAUGAUCAGCCACACUGGAACUGACACACGGUCCAGACUCCUACGGGAGGCAGCAGUGAGGAAUUUUGCGCAAUGGGGGAAACCCUGACGCAGCAACGCCGCGUGAGUGAUGAAGGCCUUCGGGUCGUAAAGCUCUGUCAAGUGGGAAGAAAAUGUAAAAUGUUAAUACCAUUUUUCACUGACGGUACCACUGAAGGAAGCACCGGCUAACUCCGUGCCAGCAGCCGCGGUAAUACGGAGGGUGCAAGCGUUAUUCGGAAUUAUUGGGCGUAAAGGGCGCGUAGGCGGCCUUUUAAGUCAGAUGUGAAAGCCCGGGGCUUAACCCCGGAAGUGCAUUUGAAACUAAAGGGCUUGAGUAUGGGAGAGGGAAGUGGAAUUCCUGGUGUAGCGGUGAAUGCGUAGGUAUCAGGAGGAACACCGGUGGCGAAGGCGACUUCCUGGACCAAUACUGACGCUAAGGCGCGAAGGCGUGGGUAGCAAACAGGAUUAGAUACCCUGGUAGUCCACGCAGUAAACGGUGAACACUAGGUGUAGCGGGUAUUGACCCCUGCUGUGCCGCAGCUAACGCAUUAAGUGUUCCGCCUGGGGAGUACGGUCGCAAGAUUAAAACUCAAAGGAAUUGACGGGGGCCCGCACAAGCGGU